rnacentral:rRNA from 1 species
UACGAAGGGGGCGAGCGUUGUUCGGAAUUACUGGGCGUAAAGGGCGCGUAGGCGGCCCUGGAAGUCAGGCGUGAAAGCCCCGGGCUCAACCUGGGAAUUGCGCUUGAUACUCCGGGGCUUGAGUUCGGGAGAGGAGAGUGGAAUUCCCAGUGUAGAGGUGAAAUUCGUAGAUAUUGGGAAGAACACCGGUGGCGAAGGCGGCUCUCUGGACCGAGACUGACGCUGAGGCGCGAAGGCCAGGGGAGCAAACGGG